rnacentral:lncRNA from 1 species
CUGCCUUUGCUGUGGCAUCAUUGUUGAUCUAUCAAUCUUUGUUUCUCUGUAAAUCCUCUACUCUUUAGUAAAUCUAUAGAUCAUCUAUUUUUUGAUAGAUUAAGAUUUGAAAAUCUUUUAUUUAGAUGAAUCUGCAGCUGUUCUCUAUUGCUUUUCUCCUUGGCUUCAGAUUUUCAAUCGUCUCUUUUUAUUAUUGAUCAAUAAAUUUCUCUCUAUUAUUGGC